rnacentral:sRNA from 1 species
GCCGGGCAUGGUAGUGCACACCUGUAAUCCCAGCAACUCAGGAGGCUGAGGCAGGAGGAUGGCAAGUUCAUAGCCAGCCUCAGCAAUUUAAUGAGGCCCUAAGCAACUUAGCAAGAUCCUGUCUCAA